AUCAUUAUUUGCAUAAACGCUUGAUAACCUGAUUUUUAUUUCAUUUUAAAGUUUUCAUUCAUUUAACAGGGGAUAUGAAGACGCCAUAAUUACGAACGCAAGUUAUGAAAUCUGCCAAUUUGAUCCCAGACCGGAAAACAAAUACGAAGCUCUUGGAGAAACCACUUUUCAUCAGUAUUCGAGUCUUUCAUUAGACAAAAUACCUACAGAUAAUACAGAUGCUACGGAGUCAUCGGAGCCAUCGACAACCUUCAAAGAAUAUGAAAAUUUGACAUUACGUUAAAACACACACCUUCUUGUGGAUGGUUGUGGUUUUGAUGUUGUUAGUUUGUUGUUUAAGUUUAUGUUGCUGUUUUGUUGAUUUUUUGUCGUAUUUUUAUAUUGGACAUUUAAGAUUGAGCAUAUUGAAAAGUAGUCAAAAAGAAGUUAUAUUAGUGAAAAUGAAACAUAUGAUACCUAUAAGGCUACUUAUUCCGCUCUCCUCGAAUGCACAGACUCAAUGUCAGGUUCGUUAAUAGAAACUGCAUAUGGUACGUAAUCUAAGAUCAUGUUUAAGAAUUAUAAUGAUAUGCAUCAAUAUUAAGUAGUGAUUGCCGAUUAGUCACCAAUAAAUAAAUGUCGCGAGGUCUGCAAGCAAUAUGCGACUAGUCUCAUAUAAGUCAA